ensembl:lncRNA
CUCCAACAGAAAUGAGGUUAGGAGUUAUGCUGACAGAGGAACAGAGUACUCCCCCGACUCCACUAAUGAGGAGUGUUUUAAGAUUGAGGAGUUUUUCAAAGGGAGAUUCAGAACCUGAGAUUGUUCGCUAGGCUAAUGUGCCCUGGGCAGCAUAUUUAUUUAGGAAAGAGGGUUUUUAGUUUGUGUGAACUGACCUGCUCCAGACCGAUGGACCGCACCAAUCAGCUUGUCCCCCCGGAAGUCCCUGACUGUGGCUAAGUCUACCCCUCGGCGUUUCCGAACCGGUACUGAACCCACAGAGCCUGGAAGCUGUGUGGGCGCGGCACGCGCCUGCGCAGUUCCGUCAACGCGCCCCUGCCCAGGGCGUCCGGCACCUCUAGGUCUGUGAGAACCCAGGCUGCCUCAGCUCUGCCAGCAGCGUUUGUUGAGCUGCGCAUCAAUUGCAGAGUCCUUAUAAUACGGAGUAGAGAAGGUCGUUGGAGCCCGACCUGUUGGAGGACACACAGAACGUUUGUGGGGGUCAAGUUCCCGAACGUUUCUCCUCAGAGGACUAUUAGGCCUUGCGGGGGGGAUGGCAGAUGUUCAGGCGUUCCGGUGAGACGUGGCUUCAGGCUGCAGGGAAACAGUCCUAUUAUACAUUAGCAUGAGGCAUCUGUCUGCAGUUUUUUGAUGUGUCUGCAGCCCCAGGAAGAAAGGAGAGUGAGAUGAGGACAACAUCUACUUCUCUUAGAAGACUCUGCUGCAGCCCCAUUUAGUGCCUUUUGUUUCUGUCUCAUGGGUGAGAACAGGAUCCCCGCAGCCAGCCUGAACUUAAAGUGAUAUGAGAAAAUUUCUGCCAGUGGUACUGAUUAUAAAGAGCACUCAUCUUUAUAUCGGAUGCAGGAGAAAUGGAGAGAAUCGUGUGCUGUCUUAAGAAAAGCACAUGAUUGUUCUGUGAUUCUACAAAAGAUAUAAAACAUAUGUAUUUUUAUUUGAUUUACAUAUUCAAUUGCAUAGUUAUGUAAUGCAUGUUUUGUUAAUAACUCUUAAAACCGGGGUUCUGUUAUGCUGUCUCAGCCAACAGAAGUCCAACCUAAAGGAUAUGAAAUGACAUUCUGCCCAUAUUGUUCAAGAAAAUAAAUGCC